UAUGUGAUCGUCUCUCGCAUAUCAAUAAGCGGAGGAAAAGAAACUAACAAGGAUUCCCCUAGUAACGGCGAGUGAAGCGGGAAGAGCUCAAAUUUGAAAUCUUCAAGGGUUCUACCUUUACGAAUUGUAGUUUAAAGAAGUGUUUUCUGUUGAGGUUUUGGUAAAAGUUCUUUGGAAUAGGACAUCAUAGAGGGUGAGAAUCCCGUAUUUGACCUUUACUUUCAACUUUGUGAUACACUUUCAAAGAGUCGGAUUGUUUGGGAAUGCAGUCCAAAAUGGGUGGUAAAUUUCAUCUAAAGCUAAAUAUUGGCGAGAGACCGAUAGCGAACAAGUACCGUGAGGGAAAGAUGAAAAGAACUUUGAAAAGAGAGUUAAACAGUACGUGAAAUUGUCAAAAGGGAAGCGUUUGACACCAGUGUUGUUUUUCUGAAAAUCAAUUAAAGAACUGUUUAUGCUAAGUUGUUUAGACUUUAUCAGCUAACUGUUUAGUUUUGAGCUUUUCUUUAAUGCACUUUUCAGUUAACAAGUCAACAUCAAUUUCUUUUGCUGUAAAAAAGCUUGAGGAAGGUGGCUUGAGAUUCGUCUUAAGUGUUUAUAGCCUCUUGCCUAUGCAGUCGGAGAGAUUGAGGUCUGCAGCGUAGAUCCUUCGGGGCUAAAUGCAUUUGUGCUAAGUUAUAGCAUUUUAUAGACAACUUGUUGACUAUGAUUUGUCUUGUAGCUUACUCGCUUAUGUUAUUUUACCUACGCUUAGGAUGUUGAUAUGCAUGACUGAUAU
rnacentral:rRNA from 1 species